AAUUAGUCACCCACCCACUCACUCCUCUGGCCCUCUCCUCUCGAGCCUCCAGCCUUCCACUCUAACUUCUCGCUCUCAGUUCUCAAGUCUCCAGUUUCCACCGCGAGCUUCCGGCGCAACUUCUGUCCAGCCACCGCCGCCGUUACAACGUCCGUGGAGCAAACGUCAGCCAAAUCUGUUCGGGCAGCAACUCUCCGUCGCGGUCAGCCGUCGAAAUCGCAGCCACCGCCAGCUCCACUUGCCGUCGCCAGCUCCACUUGCCGUCGCGCAGUGUUUUCCCGCCACCGCCAACUCUGUUCGACCCUUCCACUAACCCUAGGAUAUACACAUUGAAUAAUGAAGUUUGCUUAGAAUUGUUCUGGUAGUAUUUUACAUUAUUCUGUCUCUCAGUCUCUGAGACUAAACAUGUACACCAAUGGCCAUCUCUUUUCUCUUGUGGGCCUAAUGUUCUCCUGUUCUGCAUAAAAUGGCUGGUUGAUUCUUUGAUUUUGUGUGUGUGUGUGUGUGUGUGUUUGUGUAUACCUGUAUAUACUGUUUGUUCUCUCUCCUUUUUGUUUGGUUUAGUUUGUAUCUUUUUCUUCAUAGUUUUUCUCCUUUUUGUUUGGUUUAGUUUGUUGGAUCAACAUGUAUUUGGUUUCAUACUUUCAUUAAUCAGUUCUUAAUAUGUAUUUUUAUUUUUGGUCAGCAGUUUUGUUAUUGCUUUUUUUGUUGUUCUGUAUGGUAGGUAGAUCAUAGUUUCAACUAAAAUUAUUACUAGGGUUAUGUCUAUUUGAAAGAAGUUAUUUACUGCAUAUCAAGUAUGGGUUCAGGCCAUUGGUUUAAGACAAUCAUUUGAUUAAGAAAAUCAAAACAAAGUAGAUCAAAGAAAUCAAAGAUACAACACACUUUCUGUGUCAAUUUUACCUUCAUUAAUAACUCAUCCUAGUCCAGGAUUUCAUUGCAUGAGAGUCAAAAUGAUUAUGUAAAACUAUGUAGUACUACCAUGUAGAGAGAUUUGAAGUUUAUGUAUGUCUUACUACCAACAAGACAACAAGGCCGGUACAAAUGUAGUACCACCACUUUAUUUAUUUAUUUUAUUUAUUUAUUUAUUUUAUUAUAAAACGGUUUUUUUGGUUUAACUACGGUCGAAUCGGUUGAACCUCUAAACCAGUGAACCAGUAGCUAGAGCGAUUCGAUGACCGGUUCGGUUUUCAGAACCUUGAGUGGAUGAUUGCCAAAAAAAAAAAAAAAAAUCCAAGGCGAAAUUACAAAAUA